rnacentral:rRNA from 1 species
CGCUGGCGGCGUGCUUAACACAUGCAAGUCGAGCGAUGAAGCACCUUCGGGUGUGAAUUAGCGGCGAACGGGUGAGGAACACGUGAGAAAUCUGCCUUCAACACUGGGAUAACUCCGGGAAACCGGGGCUAAUACCGGAUAUGAAACCUGCGGGCAUCCGCGGGUUUGGAAAGUUUUCGGUUGAAGAUGACUUCGCGGCCUAUCAGCUUGUUGGUGAGGUAAUGGCUCACCAAGGCGACGACGGGUAGCCGGCCUGAGAGGGCGACCGGCCACACUGGGACUGAGACACGGCCCAGACUCCUACGGGAGGCAGCAGUGGGGAAUAUUGGGCAAUGGAGGAAACUCUGACCCAGCAACGCCGCGUGAAGGACGACGGCCUUCGGGUUGUAAACUUCUUUUAGAGGGAACGAAAUAAAUGACGGUACUCUCAGAAAAAGCCACGGCUAACUACGUG